GGACGAACGCUGGCGGCGUGCCUAAUACAUGCAAGUCGAGCGGACAGAAGGGAGCUGCUCCCGGACGUUAGCGGCGGACGGGUGAGUAACACGUGGGCAACCUGCCCCUUAGACUGGGAUAACUCCGGGAAACCGGAGCUAAUACCGGAUAAUCCCUUUCUCCACCUGGAGAGAGGGUGAAAGAUGGCUUCGGCUAUCACUAGGGGAUGGGCCCGCGGCGCAUUAGCUAGUUGGUAAGGUAACGGCUUACCAAGGCAACGAUGCGUAGCCGACCUGAGAGGGUGAUCGGCCACACUGGGACUGAGACACGGCCCAGACUCCUACGGGAGGCAGCAGUAGGGAAUCUUCCGCAAUGGACGAAAGUCUGACGGAGCAACGCCGCGUGAGUGAGGAAGGCCUUCGGGUCGUAAAGCUCUGUUGUGAGGGAAGAAGCGGUACCGUUCGAAUAGGGCGGUACCUUGACGGUACCUCACCAGAAAGCCACGGCUAACUACGUGCCAGCCGCGGC
rnacentral:rRNA from 1 species